GAGUUUGAUCGUGGCUCAGGAUGAACGCUAGCGGCAGGCUUAACACAUGCAAGUCGAGGGGUAUAGGUUUUCGGACCUAGAGACCGGCGCACGGGUGCGUAACGCGUAUGCAAUCUACCUUUUACAGAGGGAUAGCCCAGAGAAAUUUGGAUUAAUACCUCAUAGUAUUAUAGAAUGGCAUCAUUUUAUAAUUAAAGUUCCAACGGUAAAAGAUGAGCAUGCGUCCCAUUAGCUAGAUGGUAAGGUAACGGCUUACCAUGGCGACGAUGGGUAGGGGUCCUGAGAGGGAGAUCCCCACACUGGUACUGAGACACGGACCAGACUCCUACGGGAGGCAGCAGUGAGGAAUAUUGGUCAAUGGGCGCAAGCCUGAACCAGCCAUGCCGCGUGCAGGAUGACGGUCCUAUGGAUUGUAAACUGCUUUUGUACAGGAAGAAACAGUUCUACGUGUAGAACCUUGACGGUACUGUAAGAAUAAGGAUCGGCUAACUCCGUGCCAGCAGCCGCGGUAAU
rnacentral:rRNA from 1 species